CGAGGAGCUCCGAAUGACCAAUACCGAAUCGACACAAGCAAAGAUCAUACAGAUGGAAAUACAAUUUAAAUUGUUGUCUGCCACCAUAAAUCUAAACAUGUACGAAAAAUGUUUCUUUUCAUUCCUUGGAUGUGCAAGAAAAUCUUUUAUGUAUCAGAUUGUAUAGUUCCUAGUAAUGAGAAAUGGCUAGAUGUUAUACAAUAUCAUACUUCAUGAUGUCACCAACAAUGUCAUGUUCUGAGUAUUGGGAAAUAGUUGGAGACUCAGCAGUGCAGAAACUAGUUUACUCAGAAUGUUUGUUCCAACUCACGGAUGAUAUUGUCAGAUAAGAGCACAUUGGCAAGUUGCAGACGUUGACUUUCUGAAUUACAGAAAAUAGUUUCAGUCAGGAUACCAGAAAGCAUCAGGACUUCCAGGGCAUGGCUAUAGCUCCUCCUGAAAGAACAUUAGAAACACUUGAUUAUUUGUGUGAAAUACUUUGAAAUAAAAAAAGACUCUUUCUGCAUGAUUUAAUUCCUAAAGAAAAUCAAUAAACCUGAAGAAUGAUUUAUAUAUAUAUUUAUAUACCGGUAUAUGUAAAAAUAUGUUCCAAUAAAAGUGUCAAUUAUUA